rfam:Planktothrix serta PCC 8927 isolate BBR_PRJEB10992 genome assembly, scaffold: BBR_A_PL8927_scaffold52
AGGAGUGUGAGGAGUGAAGUCUGAAAAGAAAAAGCAUCUGGGGUCGAAACUCGGCCAGACUCCCAGAUGCUUUUUCUA